UUAGUUUCCCAGCUAUACCCUAUUUUCACCCCAACAAUUUCAUUUCCCUCCUUUCCCAAAUUGAUUUACCCAAACUAUUUCAAUUUCCCGCUUCCCCAGAUCGACCCUUCACUAAAAAAAAUUCAUUCUCCCGCUAUCCCUGUCCCCAAACCCUAGUCGUUUUCACCUUAUUGCUCAAAUUUAAACUCAAAAUCAAGAUUGAGGAGAUAAUCAAUUAAAUUGUCUCACAUUCUUUUUCUAAAUCUGUUGUUUUUCGAUUCAAUAUCUAAUCUAAUCAAUCUUGUGCUUCCUUCGAUUACAGAUUUUGUUGUGGCGAGAGGAUGAACAAUCAUAGUAGAAGCAACAGGAACACAGGCACUGGUCCACCCACUCAAUCGGUCCUUAAUAGUAUGUUGAAGCCUUGAGAUUCUUCUUUCAUGACUAUGUUGGUUCAUAACUUAUGCCUUAAAAGUGGACCCAACCUAGGUCAGUCCUACUCUCAACUUUUGUCACAAUUCCGGCAAUUAUGAAUCAAAACUACUAUAUUAUCAGACCUUCAAUACCCUUUUUGUGCUAUGUCGAUUUGAAACUUAUGCACUUACUUAAACUAUAUAUGUUUUUUGCUUUGAUAUCAUACUUUGUUAAAAGUGAGAACCUGAGGUUUUCUAUUUGAUGGCUUGGCAAUCUGAUUAUAUAGGUUCUAAAGCAUCAAAGAUUCGUAUUCUAUGUGAUUUUAAACAGCCUGACCCCGCCUGGUAAGCACAGCAUUUGGGUGAGGGGUCGGGUUGGGUGAGGCCAAAGCACUACUUUGUUGUUGUUGUUGUUGUUGUUGUUUUUACAAAAUUAACAUAAUAAUUAGGAUGGUUCGAUAUGUGUGGGGGGGGGGUCAAUGAGGGUGCUGGCGCUGAUGAAAGAUCUAUCUUAGUGAGGACAAUGGUAGAAAGCAAAGCAAGCAAAAAUGUGCUUCGCGAAUUUUACCUACUUGGGUACGAGUUAUACCAUGAGUUGCUGUGUGGGGUUUUGUUAUCAUUUGCAAAGGGGCGCACAAAUAACCGUUAUAGUUUCUUCAUAUAGUAAGAUGCUAAUUUACGUGCCACUGAAUUCGCUGACGACAACGUAGUUGCGACACCUGGCAUUCAAAUGGUUGAAGUGACUGCACCUGCAUCAACUAAAAUUACACUGAAGUUGUUGCAGCAAUUUCUUUAUUUUGUGAACAUCUUGCAGCGUUAAUACGAACAACGAAGGUUAUCAAAGGUAAAAAACAAGUUCCUUAUCAAAAAACCAUGCUUGGUAUGCUUACAAUUAAGAAAGAUUAGUAUGUAUAUGAACAAAUGAAGAACUACAAAAACCUUCAGAAGAUGGAAAUGCUUUGGUCUAUCCUUUUGCGGUUGUAAUGAACAAGGAGUUUGAUCGUCACGUUCGACUUUAUAGCAAAGGUUUUGCUAAAAGAUGAUGAAAAUAUGGAUGGUGGUGAGGAAGCAUACACGAUUCUAGGUGGGAUUUUAUCAUGGCGGAGAGGAACCAUACAUGAUGGUUACAUUCGACUUAUAUCAUUGAAACACCAAAGCGCCAACCAGCAAAAUUUGAAGCUAUGAUGUAGAGUAUUAUUGAAAAGCUAUUUGUUGACUAGUUUAGGAUCUUAGAUGCCAAUGAGGUUUUCGUUACCUUUUAUCAUUGUAAUUGACAAUGUUAUUUUGAUUACAUUGUUAUUUUAAGUUUGGACAUGUGUUCAUGUUA